UUUAUGAAAAUUAAUCAAGGAAGAAGAGAGAUGGGUAAAUGAAAUGAAAGCUGGCUUGCAGCACAUUCAGCAUUCAUCACCAGGUUAGGCUGCUGUCUCACCUGCUUCCUCAUGGUUGCUUGUUGCCUGAUGUCCUAGAAUCAUGUAGACUCUGUUACAAGAUUCCAGUUAUCCUUACCUGCUCUAUAGAUAACAACUUGAAUAUUAUGAAAGGUUAAGUUUUCCCUUUGAGAAAUUCUUUUAGGUCCUGUAUAAGAGUGAAACUACCAAUGCCAGCUGGUCUGAAGGAUGCCGCUGAUGCCAGCUGGUCUGUAGGGCCCCACUGAUGCCAGCUGUCUGAGGACCCCAGGAGGAGCUGACUCACCGAAGAGUGCAGUUUCCACAUUCUGAUAAUUUCACCUUCUUUCCCCCAACCAAUCAACGACCCCAGUCUUCCAGGCCCUCACCCUCCAUGAUCCCCAUAGAAACCCCAGGCAAAAGUUCCUUGGGUAGAGGAAUUUGAGGGUCUCCUCCCUUCUCCUUGCUUGGUGGCCUGCGAUCACUACACUCUUUCUGUGCUGCAUCCCUGUAGUCUCAGUGUUUUGGUCUGUUACUGUGCAGCAGGCAUACAAACCUGUGAGUACUACAACAAUUCCAGCAAGUCAAUCCAAUUCUAGUAGGAUUUUCUGAAAUGGAAACUUUGACAGACAAAGACAGAGAGUAUAUUUUAACAAACACUUCCCCUCAUUCUUCAGGAAAAGACUGGUACAAGCCCUGAGGCAGAUGGAUCUAUGAGAAGGGUCUGUCUGGAUCAGCUCUGGUUCUUCUCCCUCUUAUCACCAGGGUUUGCUUGUCCCCAGAGCCAUGCAUUUAAUUUUCAUUUGUUUUCUAUAUACUUCCAGUCAGAUUUCAAUAAAUAAUAUAUUCUCAGCCUUUCAUCAUAAAUUUGUAUCAGUCUAGAAUAAUUCCCAAUUAUAUAACCUGCUUUGCCAGGAGGUUUGGCCUCCUGCUGGCCUCUGCAGAACUAAGACUGACUUAUAUCCUCUGUUUCUCACUUAGCCCCGUGGAAGCAAAGUCCCCAUUGGAUGCCAGCUCACCCCGACUUAUCCUGGAGUUUUCUGUCCUGAGUUUUCCAACUUCUGCAUGCAAUUUUCUCUCCCACGCCAGCAAGUUGACACAUUCAACUGAACUUUGCUGAGUUCCCGUUCAUGCUGGAGACAUAACAGCAAGCAUCUUUCCCCUCAGGCUGCUCCUUGCUGGGAUGGUUGAGGAAGGGCAAACGAGGAAAUACACCUGCACAAUAAGGUUUUAGAAUUGAGACAAAAUUCUACGAGCCUUAGAUGGAAGAACUGAAACCCCCAGCCGACCACAGCCUGGGCGCAUUUCCCUGGCUUUGCCUGAUGCAAGUUUCCAGUCAUCGCACAACUGUGUAGCUGGUAAAGCAGCCCAACCCCUCAAUGACUUAUAUAGAUGGUGUUCCUCUUUUCCAUGAGCAGCAGUGGUGACUUCUCAGAGACUUUGAGAGGCCUGAAGUAUAUCAUGUACUGGUUCACAUUUUCUGGGCCUUCUCUGUGCAAAUCUACAUUGUGGAUGGAAAUGGUGGACAGAACUAAGUACCACUCCUGAAGAAACCCAUCCUCGUGUCUCAGAGGGCAAAGCCAGGGCCACAUUCAGGCUCAUGCCCUCCUCAAGCCCAUAGUGCACCUCACCCGGCUGACCUUCACUUCCUGCUGCUCCCUCUGUUCAUUCCCUCAGCUCCCUCCCACUGUGGGUUUUGCCAGUUACUUCCACACUGACGCCCCCACCCCACCAGUCCACAUGUGACGGCCAUCCAGGCCUCCCACUAUCCUUCCCUUCCUAGCCAGGACCCUGCCCUCUUCUCCAGGUCCCUGCCAUUCCCUGACAACAUUGUGGGGAAGGAUUCCCCAGGCUGGCCCUCUCCACCCUGCACACAGGCUCCGCCCCAAGGCCAGGAUGGAAGUUUCAUUGAUGUGGUCACAUGGUCCCAAGUGAUCAGCCCUCUGGGCCUCCCCUACCCCCACGCCUCAUGCACACCGCCACCCUCAAGAGUGGGAAGCCAGGGAACCAUCUCAGGUCAUCUCAGGUCAUGCCCAUCAGUACCUUCCUUCAAGAUGCCCGCGCUGGCUGUAGGAGGGACUUUCUUCUUGCUAGAGACUUUUUCAUGGUUCAGUAAGCAUGGCCAUUCUUGCCCUAUGAUGACAUCCUUGGAUGAGUGCUAUGAUCAAUGUGACAUUUCAACGGUGCCUGACUGCUCACUCUGUGGAUGUGGACUGUGGCUGACCCACUGCCAGGCCAACAUCAAAGCCUACUCACUGCUCACUUCUACUGCGAAAUGGACUCAACACAGGCCGUGCAGACUCCGGCGGAGCCUGGGCUUCAUCUGGGACAGACUGACUGUGUGGACAGCUGUGAGGCUGUUAUGGUGAGGACGUGCCCCUAUAUGCGCAGGAGGCGAGGGGCCACCCUGUUUCCAACCUAGACAAAAGACAGGGCACGCGCACAAAAUAUAAAAUAAGAGCCCUGUUGACAUCCCUUCAGCCGGUCCUCCCAGCCCCAUUGUCCAGACCAAGCCCAAGGGGUGGGGGAAGCACAGUGUCCUCAGGGCAGUGGUCUGAGGUGCCUUCUGCCCCUUUCUGGGCUCUGGGGGGUGCUGGAGGCCUCCUCAGGGUUGCCAGGGCUGGGUGCUGUGCGUGCAUGGCUCCUGGGCACCUGCUGUGGUUGGAAUGCUUGUGCCCCUCCCAAAUUCAUGUGGGAACAAUCUCCACUGCAAAAGUGUAGCUAGAUGAGGCCUUCAGGAGGUGAUUAGGUCAUGCGGG
rnacentral:lncRNA from 1 species